GCACAAGCGGUGGAUGAUGUGGUUUAAUUCGAUGCAACGCGAAGAACCUUACCCACCUUUGACAUGGCAGGAAUCCCGAAGAGAUUUGGGAGUGCUCGAAAGAGAACCUGCACACAGGUGCUGCAUGGCUGUCGUCAGCUCGUGUCGUGAGAUGUUGGGUUAAGUCCCGCAACGAGCGCAACCCUUGCCAUUAGUUGCUACGAAAGGGCACUCUAAUGGGACUGCCGGUGACAAACCGGAGGAAGGUGGGGAUGACGUCAAGUCCUCAUGGCCCUUAUAGGUGGGGCUACACACGUCAUACAAUGGCCGGUACAGAGGGUAGCCAACCCGCGAGGGGGAGCCAAUCCCACAAAGCCGGUCGUAGUCCGGAUCGCAGUCUGCAACUCGACUGCGUGAAGUCGGAAUCGCUAGUAAUCGUGGAUCAGCAUGUCACGGUGAAUACGUUCCCGGGUCUU
rnacentral:rRNA from 1 species